rnacentral:lncRNA from 1 species
GCUUGACCCAGCAUUACUGCGGCCUGGCAGGAUGGACAUGCACAUCCACAUGGGGUACUGCACUGCAGAGUCGUUCCGGAUUCUGGCAAGGAACUAUCACUCGGUUGAAAAUCAUGCCAUGUGCCCAGAAAUUGAACAGCUGAUAGAGGAGGUAAUGGUCUCACCUGCAGAGGUUGCUGAGGUUCUAAUGAGGAACGAGAACAGUGAUGUUGUACUCCAGGAUCUCCUUGAGUUCCUCAAAGCAAAGAGGAAAGAAGUUGGUGAGAGGAAGGCUGCAAAUGAGAAUGGAAAUGAAUAGAUGAAGAAAUGUGGCAGAGAGACCAACGUCUUACGAAAUACAGAGCAAAAGAGGGAUUAGAGAAAGUCAGAAACCACACAGCGAUGGUGUGGAAUUUUGUGUGCAAUGUAAAUGAGGUAGUAUUAGAAGAAAAUAUAUCCAAGAGCAUUAUUGUUGACUCUUGAAAUUUAUGGAGCGCCUUUUUUGUAGUGAUAAGGUGCAACUGUACCACCAUUCUUAACAGUUAUUUUAUGAUUCUUGACAUUGUAAUGGAAAUUUAUCUCACAGUUCAGAGAAGAGAAAAAUAAAUAAACAGAGUUUGCAAUGUUAUUUUACGAUUUAUUGACAUUGCUUCUUGUUAUUCAAGCAUGUGUAUCAACUCUAAUAUAUUGUUCUCAAAGAAAUUGUUAAGCUAAGAUUCAGAAGGAUACAUUCUACCUUCAAGGGCAUGUCAGACACAGCAUGUAGUUUCACCUUACUUCUUUCUUGUAGUCCUACCUCCUGUUGACAAAGUAGACAAAAUGUUUAUAUAGCAAACUUGUGAUACAUUUGUAAACAUUCAUUGCAGGUUACAACAUUAGAGCAUCUAGUGAAAUGGUAUAUCGAUUUAAGUCAUCUGAACUUCUGUGAUAAUUUGAGUCCUGUUGAAAAUAUUUCCAGCAGAUAGUAUUGCAGGGCUGCCAUGCGCCCAUGCCAAUCCAUUUGUACUUUCGCCAAAGUAACACAUCAUUAUGCAAAAAUAACGGAAGCUCUGUAACUCUGUAUUGCACCUGUUGUCCUAUAAAGUGGCACUGCAUUGGAAAAUACAAACAUAGAAUGUGCAGAAACAAUAAUUCACCAUCUACCAGGAGCAGGAAUCAUCAUCUUAUACUGUACCGAAACCUUUGUCAGAACGAAUUCAAAUGGCAUGCAGAUUUACCAUCUACCAGGAGCAGGAAUUAUCAUCUUACUGUAUCUUAAGCUGCAUGGUCCAACCAGAACACAUCACACAGAAGGAAAGAGGCCAAAUGGAGUCAACAGCGAUUUAUUGGUAACGACAUAAACUGGUGAACUCUAAACAUAAAAGAGCCAGAAAUUACAAGGACUAAUGAUCAGAUAAUUAAGCAAUUAUUAGGAAUUGUUAGUUGUUACAUUUUAUCUAAGCAUGUGCAGCGACUCUAAUAUACCCUUUCCAAUGGAACUGUUAAAAGAUUCAAAAGGGUAUUAUCCGUACCUUCGAUUGCAUGUCAAAUACAUCAGUCCCCAGCGUGUAGCUUCACCUUACUUCUUUCUUGUAGUCCUUCCUGCUCAUAAAUUAGACCAAAAAUGUUCAGGCAACAAACUUGCGAUACACUUGUAACCAUGAAAAAUUUGCAUGUUACAACAAUUUUUUUGUUUGAAAAUUUAUGUUACAACAAAUAGGAGCAUAAAGUGAAAUGGCACAUUGAUUUAAGUUAUAUGAACUUCUGUGCUAAUUUGAAUCCGGUUGAAAAUGUUUCUUCCAGAUAGUAUUAUCAGCAUGUGACACACAACUUAGCAUGACAAUGCAAGCAUGAAACAGGUGUAACUGGGUACAAAAUCUCUAACCAAACUCUUCACAUACCCACUACUUUCUUUAUAUACUUAUGGCAUAUUUUAAAAUUGCAGUCUUCAAGGUAUACCUCUGACUAUCAGUUUCAAAUAUCACAUAUAAGCAGAGAUUUUAAAAUUAUAGUAUUUUGGAAGCAUUUUUCAAAAAAAAACCUAAACUAAACUAAUCCUACCUUUUCCAUAUGGGUAUAUGGCCAAUCGACAUGGUAUCAUACAUACCAGUUUCAAAGUUAGAGAAAACUAAGAGCAUAUCCCGCUUUGACAUUUACAUGCAUAGGAAACUACUUAUGCAUAGUAGCAAAUGAAAUUUCAUCCAAGCAAAGCAAUGUACUUGACAGAAAAUAGUUUUGUUUCACAAGCUUUUGUAUGCUACCAUAAAACACUAAACACUUUUACGACAUGCCUCUUAUGUGAAACAAACAAGCAGGUAUUUCCUGUGAUCAUAUCCCAAUGCAGAACACAGCAAAAGAGGGUGCUACUUUAAGGUUUAAGCUGUGUAUAGUUUAGGCUCAUUCAGUGAUAUGCAGAAGCAAAGAACGGCAGGAUGUUCUCUUUUUUCCCGAACUAGUUGCUGGAUGCAGAUUUAUCAGGAAUUCAUGAUGUAUUGCCAUUAUGGGUGACCAUGACACGAACUAUAGGGGCUAGCAAAUUGAAGAGACAUGAAAGGAUGCGAAAUUUGAAAACAUUGCUGAUUUGUUAUUGGUGCGAACAAUCUGAAAAUGGAUAUGAAUAAAUGCAAUCUACAGAAGCAGAGAAGUACAAUGUUGUUUAUGAACAACAACAUUUUCGCCAAUGUUGUUUAUGAAGCUACCAAUUACACAAAACUGCUAUCCUACUUUCUCAGUGUUCAAACAACAAUCUGAGAAAGGGGGAGGGGAGAAAUGUUCUCAUCUUUUGACUGAACAGUUCAUCAGGGCCUAAAUUGACAAGGUAGGUAGUAGGAUCCAUAGUCUUACCGCAGUUAUCUGAUCCUUGGCAGCAGUUGAGCUAGUCAAGACAGGCAUACUUCAUCAGUCAUCACCCUGCAGGCGCAACUCUUAAUCCCCAAAUCACUCAUCACCAGCGCCAUGAACAGUUCAGGCUCUGCAACUGACACAGUGCAGAAGUCAAACGAAAUCACUGGGGGGAAGAGGUGAUCUGAUCCCAACCUCCACAUCCCGGAAUCAGACGAAUCAGAUGCGACGACGAAGAUACUAUUACCUUCCCACCGGCGACACUGCGGCGACGCCGGCGAGGGGAGGAGACACACUGGCAUGAUAAUCUGUUCCAGACCAACGUGGAUAGCGGUGGUGCCGGCGCCGGCCGGGCCGGGAGCGUUCUUCGCCGGCGAAGAACCGGAUGCCGUCGAUAGGCCCAGUGGAACGGAACACCCUCUAGAGGCCGGCGCUGAACCGGACGCCGUCUAGUGGUCUGCGUGGGUUCGACUAAACUGGG